UGGGGAAUUUUGGACAAUGGACGCAAGUCUGAUCCAGCCAUGCCGCGUGCGGGAAGAAGGCCUUCGGGUUGUAAACCGCUUUUGUCAGGGAAGAAACGAGUUUCUCUAAUACAGAGACUUAAUGACGGUACCUGAAGAAUAAGCACCGGCUAACUACGUGCCAGCAGCCGCGGUAAUACGUAGGGUGCAAGCGUUAAUCGGAAUUACUGGGCGUAAAGCGUGCGCAGGCGGUUAUGCAAGACAGAUGUGAAAUCCCCGGGCUCAACCUGGGACCUGCAUUUGUGACUGUAUAGCUAGAGUACGGUAGAGGGGGAUGGAAUUCCGCGUGUAGCAGUGAAAUGCGUAGAUAUGCGGAGGAACACCGAUGGCGAAGGCAAUCCCCUGGGCCUGUACUGACGCUCAUGCACGAAAGCGUGGGGAGCAAACA
rnacentral:rRNA from 1 species